AGAGAAAGGGAUGGUGGGAGAGGGAGGGGAGAUGAACAUGGAGGCCAAAAUGUAGGUAGCAGAGGUCCCGGUUCAGGUGGCAGAUCUAUUGGGAAUUAACCAGAGGAUUUAACUUAGAAUGGCAUACAAACUUGGAUGCUAGUUGAUGCGCCUAGCGAUUGUGUUACCUGUUGAUUCUGAACUAGGUUUGUGUAGUGUCUUCCUUCACCCAGCUACCCAACUGGGUUCCAGAGAGAAAGAUUGAGAUAGAGCCCUCUGCUGCUGCUCCAGCUACCUACCACCAUGCCUUUGCCCUGCCAUCAUGGACUCAAGUCCUCUGGAAAGUGUAAAAGUAAUUUUUAGUCUCCAGAUCUAACUGCCCUCCUGGAGGCUUACUGCUGACCCUGUAGUCCCUAGGCAAUGCUCUACAAAAUCUAUCAAAGCUGAGUGGCCAGCCCGUCCUUUCUGCCCCACCUAUGUUGGCAGUAAGAUGCCCUGCAGGACAUGUCAAAAAUGGUGUCUCUUGUCAAAAUGGCAGCAUCAGGACAUCUCCUCAGCCUGGAGCCAACACAGGAGCUGUCCACAGUGGCAACAUCUUUCCUUCCUCAGCUUUUGUGAAACACCACUGCAGGAGCUGUCCCACAGGAGCUGUCCACUGUGGCAGGCUUCCUCUCCAGUCUCCCUCCUGCCCCCAACCCUGGGCAGUUCCACAGAGAUGGUGCCUCACCAAAAACCUGCUGUAGCUGGAAAGGACGUCCUACCAUAACAUAUGGGCCCAAUGCAGGGGAGGGGGUUUGUGAAAAAAAGCUACCAAUCUCUGAGCAGGAAAACCCACCAAUCCCUGAGCUCCCCAAGCUCAGGACUUGAAAUCCCAACAAUCCUCAAUCUGGAAGUCUCUGCCCUGAGAAGCUCCACCCCCUCUGAAAUCCUGUAUAGGUACUGCCUCUUUGUCCCAAUCCCUGCUGUCUGCUCCCAGGGGCAGAGGCAGCCACCCUGGAUUCAUCUCUUCAUACCCUGGAUCUUACAAUGAAUCUUUUUCAUGAGAUUUGCUGCCUGGUGUGACUCUCUCAUCAGAAGAAGAAGAAGAAAAAAAUACAAGCAAUACUGAGAAGAAGCUAAGAGAAGGGGCUGUGCUGAGGCACUGGGUUCCCUCCCCUGGGAGCUGCAACACCUAUGCUGAGCAGGCCUCUCAGAGCUUCGAGCUUCCUGGGUUUCCAGUCUCAGGAUUCUCUCCUUCUGGGUCAGUGUCACACCUCAGAUCUGUGUGGCUCCUAGCUCCCGUGUCUCAGGAUGCCCUUCCACUGGGACACCUGUUCCUGCCACAGCUGUGUGGUUCCUGCAAUUCUGAGUCCCAGGGUACCCUCCCACCCAAGCAGAAACACAAGUCAGACCACGCAGACCCAGAAGGUCUUGGGAUAUGAUCAGAAUAGUCAUGUUGCUCUAUAGGAAAAGUAGGGCAAAUUUAACCCGGUUUUAUAAGUUCUCUUGGCCAUGGUACAUCGCAUCAACAGAAAGGUGACUAGUAUAAGCAGGAGGGUUUCCUUUGUGUUGUCUGGUCAUUUAUCAUAGUGGCCCCCUUUCUUGAUCUCUCUGGGGCAUUCAUUGUAAUUCUGUUUUGCUUGUCCUGUUCCCUCUGGGUCCCUUCUCUUCUGUUUUGUUAUUGCAGGCAGUAGCUACUGUCCAAUAUCUGGCAUAAAACCUUAAUCACCAAGGAAGUGAACAGGAGUCUGUGAUCAGGCUGAGUGGCAGCUGAGCAGAACUGGCUGUUCUACUGUGAGCCUAGGAGUCUGUGAUUGGGGUGAGAGGCAGCCAAGCAGAGCUGGCCAUUUUACUGUGAGCCCCACUAUUUGCAGCAUGGUGCACUUUUUCUUGCUUCAGAAGUGUAUUUCAGGGAAGAAUCCUGCUGGCUCCUGCCUGGGAGAAAACUGUGUCAAACACGAAGAAGGCCUGGCUGAAAUCCAUGUUUGCUGACAUCUGUAAUCCUAGAUCUGAUGAUGAGAUGAGAAAGUUGCCUUAAAUUCGAAGAUAUCUGGAAUACAAAAUGAACCCUAGGAUUUUCAGCCUGUGCUACAAAGUGAAUCCUGGCCUCAGAAAACACCAGCGACAGACUGGAGAGAUGGCUUAGCAGCUCAGAGCACUGGCAGCUUUUCCAGAGGACCCAGGCUCUGAGCAUCCACGGGGUGGUCCACACUCACCUGUAAGUCCAGUCCCAGGAGACUUGCACCUCUUUUAGCCUCUUCUGGCACGAGGCCUGCAAGUAGUACACAGAUAUACAUACAGGGAAAACACUCAAUACACAUAGAAGAAAAAAGCAGAAAUAAUAAACACAAAUAAACUAAAA